rnacentral:rRNA from 1 species
UACGGAGGGUGCAAGCGUUGCUCGGAAUUAUUGGGCGUAAAGGGUAGGUAGGUGGUCUCAUUUGUCUGGGGUGAAAGCCUUGGGCUUAACUCAAGAAGUGCCCCAGAAACGGUGAGACUGGAGUCCUGGAGAGGGUCGUGGAAUUCCCGGUGUAGCGGUGAAAUGCGUAGAGAUCGGGAGGAACACCAGAGGCGAAGGCGGCGACCUGGACAGGUACUGACACUCAACUACGAAAGCGUGGGGAGCAAACAGG